UACGUAGGGUGCAAGCGUUGUCCGGAAUUAUUGGGCGUAAAGAGCUCGUAGGCGGCCUGUCGCGUCUGCUGUGAAAUCCCGGGGCUCAACCCCGGGCCUGCAGUGGAUACGGGCUGGCUGGAGGCAGGCAGGGGAGAACGGAAUUCCUGGUGUAGCGGUGAAAUGCGCAGAUAUCGGGAGGAACACCGGUGGCGAAGGCGGUUCUCUGGGCCUGUACUGACGCUGAGGAGCGAAAGCGUGGGGAGCGAACAGG
rnacentral:rRNA from 1 species